CUUACCAUCCGUGUUCAAAGUCUCAGCCAUCUACAUGGCCUGCCGUGACACAGGGUUUAUAAAGUGUUUUGCAACUCUCUGGAGAAUAAAUCAACAAUCUUACAGGUAUGCUUCUACCUGGACUCUGGAAGUGCAGCUGUGAGAUGGAGAGACAUAUACAUGUGGUUCAUCAGUGGAUGAUGAGAAAUCAGUACAUGGUUUUCAUUAUUUUGCGGUGAUUAAAAUUCUCAUGUUCUUCCUGCAAAGAACAGCUCUGAGUGCCUCUUGUGCAGUAUUUCCAUAGAAAAUUAGAAGGUGGAAAACAAGAUGAGCUCUCAGCACAAUUCAAGCUGAAGCCUGUUUCUCAUAUCCAAAAAGCAUCUUGGUUGCAUUUUGUUGCAAUAAUAAAACAGCUGCUACUUUAAACUGUAUUGAAUGAGACACCUUGCUUUCUUGUUCCAAGUAUUUCUUCCCUUGUUUGUUGUUACAACUGAG
ensembl:lncRNA